AUAACAUUUAUUGAUUUGAUUUGAAUAUUGUGGCACAAGUUGUAAAUAUUUUGUAAUAAUAGGUCAAUUACUUUUUUACUUUGUAAUCUUUUUCAAAUUUGGGUUUUAUUUGGAUGUUUAGAAUUAGGUGAGUUUUUAUCUAAGGAAUAAGAGUUGCAAGGGUCUAGAUUUAAAAAACCCUAAAUUUUAUGUAUUUAUUCUAACACCCACACAAACAAAAGAUUCAAUUUAGACGUACGCUUCUGUUUGGAAAGAUUCUGUUGGAAGAUUGGAAGAUUGGAAGAUUGGAGGCUAUUGGAAGAAGCAACUCUCGGUUGGAAAUCAAUCACAAUCAUACCUUUUAGUGCUAGCUGUUGUAUCCAUUGUACAACUCUCGGCUAGGGCUAGGUACUUUAUUCAAGAGAUUGUUUCACCUUACUUUAGCCUACAAUUAAGGGAUCAUGUUUCUUGUUAUUGUAAAAUAGUUAGUAGCUUUCCAAGGAGUAAUUUAGGGAGCUGAUUGGGGAUUGAUUGGAGGCUGUCUUUCCUCCGUUCCUUUCUUUAUAUAUGUUCCAACUUGUAAAUACACAUGAAAUAUACAUCAAAAAUUCAAUAUGGUAUCAAACUAACUCCAGUGGUGGGCUAAAUGCCAAAUUUUCUCCCAAAUUCCCCAUCCCAAUCACCCUCCAACCCAAGCUAAAACAUUGAGCUAAAAGCCAAAUGCUAAAACUGGGCCAAAUACCCCCCCCUCCCCCAAAAAAAAUUGCCCCCUGUGCGAGUGGACUCACUGGCAAUUGGGCCAAUUUCGACCCGUCCACGCUCCAACGCGUCCCACCCGUGCGCCUACAAGGGUUUCCCGACAGGGUGGGCCCCU
rnacentral:lncRNA from 1 species